rnacentral:rRNA from 1 species
UGAGGGAAACCUUGAUGCAGCCAUGCCGCGUGUGUGAAGAAGGCCCGAGGGUUGUAAAGCACUUUCAAUUGUGAGGAAAGGUUAGUCGCUAAUAUCGGCUAGCUGUGACGUUAACUUUAGAAGAAGCACCGGCUAACUCUGUGCCAGCAGCCGCGGUAAUACAGAGGGUGCAAGCGUUAUUCGGAAUUACUGGGCGUAAAGCGCGCGUAGGCGGACUGUUAAGUCGGUUGUGAAAGCCCUGGGCUCAACCUAGGAAUUGCAUCCGAUACUGGCAAUCUAGAGUUUAGGAGAGGGAAGUGGAAUUCCUGGUGUAGCAGUGAAAUGCGUAGAUAUCAGGAGGAACAUCAGUGGCGAAGGCGACUUCCUGGCCUAAAACUGACGCUGAGGUGCGAAAGCGUGGGUAGCGAACGGGAUUAGAUACCCCGGUAGUCCACGCCGUAAACGAUGUCAACUAGCUGUUGGCCUUAUUAAAAAGGUUAGUAGCGUAGCUAACGCGCUAAGUUGACCGCCUGGGGAGUACGGUCGCAAGAUUAAAACUCAAAGGA